ACUGAACUUUUUUUUAAGAGAAAACUUGUAAGACUAGUGUAUAAAAUUUUAGCACUGCUUAUUUGGCUUGUUUUGUAGCUAUUUUUUUAAGGUAAGGAAUUACAGCAUUCUCUAUUUUUACUUGUUUGAUUAUCACUAAAUAUAAUAAGUGUUGUGUAUAUUGUUAAUUUCAGUGUUUUAGUAGGCCCAAUUUUAAAGUUAAGUAAAUAGUAAUUUUUCUCUGUAGAACGCAUAUUUGAUAGACUUCCUUAGUAAGACAAUUGCUAGGUGCAAGAAGUUAAAGUGAAAAAUGUCUCUAUGGACUUCAUGACAAGCCUUUUUAUUUACAUAUUUAAUAUUCCUUGUUCUUGCUUACCGAGAUUGGCUCUAGUGUUUCUUUUUACUCUCGUUACCCUUGUAAACAGUUACCAGUUUAAAAUAGGGUGAUUGUGAACUCCAUUUUAUCCAUAAAACUGUGUCACAAACACAUAGUUGUUGUCUAUGACUCCCAAAUAUUUGGCAUAUUUUUGGUGAAAGGAAUUAGAAUUUCAGAAAUAAAGAUAAAAUAAAUAACUGCAGAAAUUACUAGCUUUGAGUAGUUGCCGUGAAGUUGUGUGUGUGUAUGUGUGUUGAAAAGUUUGCAAAAUAGAAGGAAUUAAACUUGAUUUUUUUUUCUAGACUGUAAACUUUGAUUUAACAAAAAACUACUUAGAUUUGAUCAUAACCUAUACAACACUAAUGAUCCUGCUGUCUCGAAUUGAAGAAAGGAAGGCAAUCAUUGGAUUAUACAACUAUGCUCAUGAAAUGACCCACGGAGCAAGGUAGACCUACAUUUUAAAACAGUUUGUGAAGUUUUCAAUUUGAUGGCUUAUAACUCAGUGAAAUUUGGUAUGUCUCUUUUAAGUGACUGAGAAUACCCACGCCUUGGUCAGAUGAUCGUGGAUUAUGAAAACCCUUUAAAGAUGAUGGAAGAAUUUGUACCCCAUAGCAAGUCUCUUUCAGAUGCACUAAGUUCUCUUCGGAUGGUGUAUCCUCGAAGGAAUCUGUCAGCUGACCAGUGGAGAAACGCCCAGUUACUGAGUCUCGUCCGUGCACCCGAUGCCUUGUGAAUAUCUCUCUUUGGAUGCAAUGGAAAAGUGGAUUAUCUUUUACAAGAGAGGAGCCAAGAGGUGGCAUUGGUAGAGCAGCGGAAAUCUCCUCCCAAAACCAUAUAUAUUUUUGAAAAUUCAACAAAUACAUCUAUUCCUAAAAGAGAGACCAGAAGAUACAGUACAUUGGCCAGGGUACAUCUACAUCUGCAAGACAAAAGCGCCUCUCAAAGGGGCCAGGUCCCGCAAUAGCGGAGCAGCAGCCUGAGGCCAGCCACACCCAGAGCAACGCUGGAGCUUACUCCACAGCAGCCGGCUAGACUUUAUCUUUCAUUUGGUGCCUAAACCUGGGAAGGAGCGUGAGCACGGGGCCCCGACCGGCCACCGGCGGCCCUGCCCCCUACUUCCCCCACCCAGGACCUCAACCUGCUCUCCGCUGUGUGGACUAUUUUCUGAUCCGCCAGGAGACCUCAUUCGCCUGCUUCCCUCAGCUCACAAUCCCCUCCCCCUCUCUCCACUACUAUCUUUAAGUCCUUUGUCUUCACACGUGUUGCCGCCAUCUUAAAGUCCUACAUUCUCAACCAUGCCUUUGUCCUGCUCUCCUCUCCCAGUGUCUGCACCACCCCCUCCCCCUCUCCGUCCGCCUUCACCACACUCUUCCCCCACCAGAACACACUCCUCCCGCCCUCUGGUUCCAGAAGCCACGGACAAGAAGCUGAAAAGAGGGAAAGUGAUUAGAUAUCAGUGACUCAAGUCUUUUUAUCGGUUUGUCUGUCUGUGUAUAUGUUUUUGUGUAAAAAGGGUUGCUGACUGUAGUCAUUAUGUCUCAGUUUGUAUGUGUGUGUGUCUAGGUGUGUAGAUGAAAAAUAUUUUACUACCUCCGGGUGGUAUUAAUAAAAAUUGAUUUAAAAAACAAGUGCUUGUGAAAAUUGGGCAUUCUAAAACUUCCAGAAAAUCUGAUAAAAAAUGUUAAGCAUUAAUGCUAAUUUGGGUUUAGCUGAGGCGAGCAUGUCCUUGUGGUUAUCAGCUGCCUAAGUUUACCUAAGAUCAUUUAAGCUAAUGUUAUCUGCUAAAUCUUUUAAGAAUAAAAUGCUUAAAGGCUUAACUUUGUCUAAUAUUCAGUAAAGGUCUUGUAGGUAAUCUAGCAUAGUUGUUACGAAUGAAUGAACUAAAUAAGUGUGGCAAGUGAACACCUUUUUAAUUGUGUGUUACAGGGUGUAUACCUACCUGCCAGCCUGAGAAUCUUUGUGGUAACCUAAAAAAAACCUUAAAGUUUUGCUAAGUUAAGAAGAUAUACUUUAUGUUUAGUGAGAUAUUGUGCUAUAAAGCUCAGAGUUACAGAAAUUAUAAAAUGUUCAUAAAUUUGUCAAUCUGAAGUAUGCUAGUGUAAUAGUUUACAAUAGCCUGCUUCUCAGUGUUCACGAAAAAUUAAGGUACCUAAUGGUAUUAAGUUCUAAUUAAAAUUACUUAAAGUAAUAAGGAUAACAUUUUUGCAUGCUAAAGAAUGUGUCUUUUGAUAAAAGAAAGUAACUUUAUUCUAAAGUACAGCUGUUUAUAUAGAAAGAAAUCUAAAUGUAAAAGGGUUGUAGAAAGUUUGUAGAAGAAUUUAAUAUGGUCAUGCUAUAUAAAAUUAAAGCAAAUGAGUCUCGGUAUCAAGUACACAGCAAAAUUAGAAUCUUGUUUUCAGUUAAAAAGACAAUGUUUUCUUAACUGUUAGUGUGCUCUUAAUAUUGAAAGAUUGCAAAAAGUUCUCUAAUUGUUUUAUCUAAGCAGUUUCUCAUGCUUAAAGUCUCAGUGAGUUGUCUGAUUAUUUAAGAAAAUGAGAUCUUAAUAUUAAAAAGACUAAAAGCUAAGAUUUGUUAACAACUGUGUAACCUUCUGUAUCUGCCUUUAAAAUCUUUUAUUGUCAUUUGGGUUAAAUAGAUAAGUAUUGUUUCAUAGUGACUUAUGAUUCUAUUUAGGCAAGUGCCUUAAAAACUUUUAACAGCUUCCCAAAAUCAAAUUCAAAAUGGUACUUUUACCUCUAGUUAACUCUGCUAUUUUCCAGAGGGCCCCUAGAACAUGUCAGAAGAACUUUUUCUCAUUGGAGAAAGUAUUUGGCCAAUUUAGCUUAUUUAUCUGAUAUGUAAUUACCUGCUUAAUUACUUAAAAAGCACUGUCAAAAAGAAUAAUGCUAAACUUUGUUACUAAAUGCUUUGUGUUACAGAAAUACCAGAUUUCCUUAUGUCAACUGUCUUACUGUAAGCUCUCAUCAAAUCUUUAACCAUUGUCAUUUGUAAGUUUUAUUAUUUAUAGUCACUGUUUUAUUAUUCUUAAGCUAGUAAAGAACUUGAUUUCAGCAGAACAGGUAUUAGUUACAUAGGAUUAAGUAAACUAAGGAAGAUGACUUUGUGGCUUUUUGUUUCAAAUGUUGUUGAUUAAGUGUUUUAAGCUUUUUCUCUUAAGCUGACAACAGUUUAGUAAAUGACUGCCUUUAUAAGCAGAACUGCAACUUUAUCUUUCUCUCUACCUGAUCCCUCCAGAAUUUAAAAACUCUCAGUGACUAUUUUUAUAUUUCAUGGCAGUAUGUUUAUUUGCACAAGUUCAAUAAGAAUCUGCUUUCCUUGUAAGAAGACCUGUUAAAAACACUGGUUAUAUUACCAAGGCUUUGACUGGAACGUCACACCUGAGAGACACAUGUGUAAACUCAGAUAUGAACAGAGAGCUUUAAGGAACUAAGAUUGACUUUAUACAGCCAACAAGCCCCUUAGAAGACCUGGCCUAGUACCUUGCUUACAGAGUUCCCAGCAGCCUUACCAGGUGAGUAAAGAAGGUCACUUCCUGGCAGGUGCAGGAACCUCAAGAAUGUCUUGGGAACCUGAAGAAGAGAAAAAUUCACCCAAAUCUACAGGUACUGCAGGCAAAACCUGAUGGCAAGUCUAGCUUGGCUGUCUGGCCUCAAGAGGCCUUUAAAAGUCCAAUCUGAAAUUCCUUACAAAAAAUUCCAGCAAAGCAUAUUUAAUAGAGCCUAUGUAAUCAAUUGCUCUUCUUGCUGUGCUUAUGCAAAUAAUCAAGCCAACUGUUAAUUAUUUUCUUAACCUAGCUACUUCUAAUAAAAAUGAGGGUGAUUUUAGAAGAAGGUAUUGUUUCAAUAAUGCAGUCUUAUCUAUACUAAAUCCCAAUACUAGUCAUUAAAAUGUAAACUCAAUUCAGAAUUGCAGUCCCCCAUAAUAGCCUGGCUAAUGCCCCUACUGGGCCCCUUAAUAACAGUUUGUAGUUUACUCUUAGUUGCCUCUUGUGUCCUCAGGUUCCUCCAACAGCAGGUAACCUAGAUAACCCGGGUCGCCACCAACCAGAUGUUACUUCACUGUUACCCCUCCUUCGGCCUAAUACCAGCCUCAAAUCCCCACGGCACCCCUUGUCAGCCAGAAGUAGCCAGAUCGAGUCGUCGCCCAUUAUGAACAAAAGGCUGGAAUGUUAGGCUGGAGGAAGGAAAAACAAGGACAUGCAAACAGAACAGAGGGUUACCAUAAAAUGAGAACUGACCAGACCCCAAGGUCCGUGCCUUAUAUGGAAAGGGGACAGUUAUUCCUGAAUUCCAUCCUUCUGAUGUGCCAACUAAGACCCAGAUGUCAGCCUCCUCCCUCUUGGAAAGAAAAAAAAAAGUUUCUAGUUGUCUAUUAUGUCACCUUUAGCCAAUCACACCUUUCAACACCCUGUAGGAUAGCUUGCCCACUCCUCCCCCUCCUAACCCCUUAUGAGCCCCCACCUCCCUGACCGGGUGGGACUUCCCUGGCCUGUGUUUCAGACCGUGGAUCAUUACCCGGGAGUUUGCGUUCAAAUAAACUACGUGGCCCUUUGUUGCCUCUCUUCGCCUGCUUAUUUCAGCUAGAAUUUAUCUUACAACAAUCAUUAUUAAAUAGUGGACCCAGAGGCAGUUUCUUCAUUAAUAAACUCUAUUUUUACACCAGCUCUUUGUUUUAAUGCCACUCUUUUGUUUAGAACUAAAUUUGAAAUCUAACUUUGGGAUAUAGCCCACUGCCAAGCCUCUCUAUGUGAAUGUCUCAAAAUUACCACAAAUUCAAUAUACUCAAAUGUCAGCUCACCCUCUUUACCAAGUCAGGACAAAGUAAAGCCCUGUUCUCCUGCAUCUGCUAUCUCAGUGACAAUAUCAGUAUCUAGGAAAACCAGAAACAGAAAUGCUUCUAGAUACCUCCUGUCCCUAUUUGUAGCAUUUCCAGAAUAUCUCGCCUGGCUUUAGUAUAUCUGCAUAUCAAUAGACGUUCAGAGGUGGAAAAAGUGUGGCUUUAGUGCAUUUGCAUCUUUCCUCGGGGGUGGAGAAGUUCAUCUUCAUAUCAGUGGGUGAUUACCUGGGCAACAGAGGGCUUAUCUGUACCUGAGAGGUGAGGGAGAAGGCUGGUGUGGUUUCUGCUGGAGCAGAGAAGAAAGGGACUGGGACUGCAGUUUGUGAGAAAUAAACGGGUUUUAAACUUUAUUUCUCCCUUUGACUGCUUUUUGUUUUUAAGAGUAUUUUGCCCUAGGAUUUCCUUUCCCCAGACCGACAAUUGGCGUAAGUUGGCAGAGUUCCUCUGAACCCAAAAUCUGUCAUAAUGGGUGUGACCUUUGGGAGGGCCGCCCCUAGAAAUGACGGGAAGAAGCGGCGCUCACGCCAAGGGACAUGUGUCUUCACUCGUAUGGUUGUGGAGGCGCCACCACUGCUGGUGGCCACGUCAACCCCAGCCCAUGGCCCGAUCCUAAGGCUUCUGCUUCUGCCACUGCUGCUGCUCUUGCUGCCGGCCGGAGCCUGGCCACAACCAUGGAAAGGAGCAGAGGUCUGGGUCACCUUGAUAGAGAGGCAGCUGUCUGCAGUGUACCAUGUCUUGCUGGCUACAGAGCCCAUCGCUGGAACAGCUCCGACCAAGGUAAUAAUCUAUCCCAGCGCAGCAUGGGUGUGAGACUGGACCCAAAGGCCACAGAGUGGUGUGGCACAGACACCUCAAAAGACAAUGUUGGCCCAUCGGUGUGGCUUGUCUUUCACCUUUGAAGAAGUCAGCCGAGCCCAGAAGGAGUGCCCUGCAUGUUGUGCAGAUCAGCAAACCACCAAGAGGGGCCUAGAGCAUCUCUGCAGUGCAUGGAUGGUUGCCAGUUACUGAGACCGAUCGAGGUACCCACUUUAUUGGACAUGUGUUGCAAAGAUGGGUGCAGGAAUUAGGAGUAAAAUGGACAUGGCCCUGGACUUUUCAACACAUGGAUCAGCAAUGGCUGGCUCUUAUGGCAGCUUGGCGAAAAGGCCUGGAAGCUGGCCUUCUGCGUAUUCCUGUAAUAACAGCAAAUUGGCCCCUCAACAAUCACUGUUAUUUGCUUCUACGGUCUUUGUGUCCUGGAUGUGCCCCCCUGGCUGCAGCUGCCGAGUGAUGGCUGGAAUGGACGCGUUUUGGACUUAAUCUGCAUGGGACUUUGAACCUAGCUGAAUCUUCUGGCUUGAGAAUUAUGAUUGUGUUGCUGUUCUAUGAGUUUUGGACUUAAUCUGCAUGGGACUUUGAACCUAGCUGAAUCCUAUGGCUUGAGAAUUGUCAUUGUGUUGCUGUUGCUAAGAAAAUGUAUAAAGAGAGGAUUGACUUUGACUAAUGUUUGGUGAAAAUUUUGUGAGCAAUCUAGCAUGAUUGUUAGGAAUGAGUAAACAAGUGUAGAAACUUAUUUUGUGCUUAGUGAGAGGGAUUGGUUGGAAGAGGGAGAUCAAAGAAAUUGUUAAGGCAAGAUUUCUGGAAGGGUGGAUUGUGGGUAAAAUUGUAGCAUUUCCAGAAUAUCUUGCCUGGCUUUAGUAUAUCUGUAUAUCAAUAGACGUUCAGAGGUGGAAAGAAGUAUGGCUUUAGUGCAUUUGCAUCUUUGCUCAGGGGUGGAGAAGUUCAUCUCCAUAUCAGUGGGUGAUUACCUGGGCAACAGAGGGCUUAUCUGUACCUGAGAGGUGAGGGAGAAGGCCGGUGUGGUUGCUGCUGGAGCAUAGAAGAAAGAUGGACUGGGACUGCAGUUAGUGAGAAAUAAACGGGUUUUAAACUUUA